UGGGGAAUAUUGGACAAUGGGCGAAAGCCUGAUCCAGCCAUGCCGCGUGUGUGAAGAAGGUCUUCGGAUUGUAAAGCACUUUAAGUUGGGAGGAAGGGCAGUAAGCGAAUACCUUGCUGAUUUGACGUUACCGACAGAAUAAGCACCGGCUAACUCUGUGCCAGCAGCCGCGGUAAUACAGGGGGUGCAAGCGUUAAUCGGAAUUACUGGGCGUAAAGCGCGCGUAGGUGGUUCGUUAAGUUGAAUGUGAAAGCCCCGGGCUCAACCUGGGAACUGCAUCCAAAACUGGCGAGCUAGAGUAGGGCAGAGGGUGGUGGAAUUUCCUGUGUAGCGGUGAAAUGCGUAGAUAUAGGAAGGAACACCAGUGGCGAAGGCGACCACCUGGGCUCAUACUGACACUGAGGUGCGAAAGCGUGGGGAGCAAACAGG
rnacentral:rRNA from 1 species